rnacentral:rRNA from 1 species
UACAGAGGUGGCAAGCGUUGUUCGGAAUUACUGGGCGUAAAGAGCGCGCAGGCGGUCGUCCAAGUCGCGUGUGAAAGCCCCCGGCUCAACUGGGGAGGGUCACGCGAUACUGGUCGACUCGAAGGCAGGAGAGGGUAGUGGAAUUCCCGGUGUAGUGGUGAAAUGCGUAGAUAUCGGGAGGAACACCAGUGGCGAAGGCGACUACCUGGCCUGUUCUUGACGCUGAGGCGCGAAAGCUAGGGGAGCAAACGGG